UGUGCUUACCGGGUCUUUCUGUAACCUAAACGUUAGAAUAUCCUAAUCUUGCUCUACAUUUUAAAGCUGAAAGAUAAACCUGUUGUUUAAUGAAAUCCACAACACUACGGGAAUAGUAACCAUUGUGUUCUUUCAUUUCAAAGGGCGGCUGAAAUCUAACAUCUGGUGUAACUGUACAAACCUGACCUUAGGUCACGGAGAGCUCCCGCAAUGCAAGCAGAGAGGGCCAGGCCUGCUCCAGCCAUUACCCCAGGUCUGCGUGAGGAGGUGGUGCAGAAGAGCGUCGUUCCUGAGCCGUAAUUACCCCUGGAUAAGGCACCAUGUGCUGCAGGCAGCCACGUGCCAAUUCCCCAGUGGACACUUGGGAAUUCUUCCUCCGCCAACCACUGGUGUAUGAGGAAAUCAGCAACAUUGGCUCAGCCCAUCCGAGUAUGAGUCAUUUCCAUCAAAAGAGGAGGAUGCCUUGAUCUGUGUGCAAGCAGCAGCUGUUGGAGCAAACACAAACAUGCAUGCCAAGGAUUGUAAGGAUGGAGUUUAUCUACUAUGUAAACAACCACCUGCUGCAAAUGAAAAAUUACUCCCUCACCACCUGAAUAAGAUAAGCAUAUGAUGGGGGGAAACGAAGAGACAGAUUUAUUAUUAAUUUGCUGGAACUUUAAAACCAAACAUCUCUUUUGCGGUAGAACAGUAGGAUGCACCAGGAAGC
rnacentral:lncRNA from 1 species